GACGAACGCUGGCGGCGUGCUUAACACAUGCAAGUCGAACGGAAAGGCCCUGCUUUUGUGGGGUGCUCGAGUGGCGAACGGGUGAGUAACACGUGAGUAACCUGCCCUUGACUUUGGGAUAACUUCAGGAAACUGGGGCUAAUGCCGGAUAGGAGCUCCUGCUGCAUGGUGGGGGUUGGAAAGUUUCGGCGGUUGGGGAUGGACUCGCGGCUUAUCAGCUUGUUGGUGGGGUAGUGGCUUACCAAGGCUUUGACGGGUAGCCGGCCUGAGAGGGUGACCGGCCACAUUGGGACUGAGAGACGGCCCAGACUCCUACGGGAGGCAGCAGUGGGGAAUAUUGCACAAUGGGCGGAAGCCUGAUGCAGCAACGCCGCGUGCGGGAUGACGGCCUUCGGGUUGUAAACCGCUUUCGCCUGUGACGAAGCGUGAGUGACGGUAAUGGGUAAAGAAGCACCGGCUAACUACGUG
rnacentral:rRNA from 1 species